rnacentral:rRNA from 1 species
CCCACGCCGAAAGACCAAGGUUUCCUGCGCAACGUUAAUCGACGCAGGGUUAGUCGGUCCCUAAGGCGAGGCUGAAAAGCGUAGUCGAUGGAAAACAGGUUAAUAUUCCUGUACUUCUGGUUAUUGCGAUGGAGGGACGGAGAAGGCUAGGCCAGCCUGGCGUUGGUAGUCCAGGUUUAAGGUGGUAGGCUGAGAUCUUAGGUAAAUCCGGGAUCUUAAGGCCGAGAGCUGAUGACGAGUGUUCUUUUAGAACAUGAAGUGGUUGAUGCCAUGCUUCCAAGAAAAGCUUCUAAGCUUCAGGUAACCAGGAACCGUACCCCAAACCGACACAGGUGGUUGGGUAGAGAAUACCAAGGCGCUUGAGAGAACUCGGGUGAAGGAACUAGGCAAAAUGGCACCGUAACUUCGGGAGAAGGUGCGCCGGUGAGGGUGAAGCAUUUACUGCGUAAGCCCACGCCGGUCGAAGAUACCAGGCCGCUGCGACUGUUUAUUAAAAACACAGCACUCUGCAAACACGAAAGUGGACGUAUAGGGUGUGACGCCUGCCCGGUGCCGGAAGGUUAAUUGAUGGGGUUAGCGCAAGCGAAGCUCUUGAUCGAAGCCCCGGUAAACGGCGGCCGUAACUAUAACGGUCCUAAGGUAGCGAAAUUCCUUGUCGGGUAAGUUCCGACCUGCACGAAUGGCGUAACGAUGGCGGCGCUGUCUCCACCCGAGACUCAGUGAAAUUGAAAUCGCUGUGAAGAUGCAGUGUAUCCGCGGCUAGACGGAAAGACCCCGUGAACCUUUACUAUAGCUUUGCACUGGACUUUGAAUUUGCUUGUGUAGGAUAGGUGGGAGGCUUUGAAGCGUGGACGCCAGUCUGCGUGGAGCCAACCUUGAAAUACCACCCUGGCAACUUUGAGGUUCUAACUCAGGUCCGUUAUCCGGAUCGAGGACAGUGUAUGGUGGGUAGUUUGACUGGGGCGGUCUCCUCCUAAAGAGUAACGGAGGAGUACGAAGGUGCGCUCAGACCGGUCGGAAAUCGGUCGUAGAGUAUAAAGGCAAAAGCGCGCUUGACUGCGAGACAGACACGUCGAGCAGGUACGAAAGUAGGUCUUAGUGAUCCGGUGGUUCUGUAUGGAAGGGCCAUCGCUCAACGGAUAAAAGGUACUCCGGGGAUAACAGGCUGAUACCGCCCAAGAGUUCAUAUCGACGGCGGUGUUUGGCACCUCGAUGUCGGCUCAUCACAUCCUGGGGCUGAAGCCGGUCCCAAGGGUAUGGCUGUUCGCCAUUUAAAGUGGUACGCGAGCUGGGUUUAGAACGUCGUGAGACAGUUCGGUCCCUAUCUGCCGUGGACGUUUGAGAUUUGAGAGGGGCUGCUCCUAGUACGAGAGGACCGGAGUGGACGAACCUCUGGUGUUCCGGUUGUCACGCCAGUGGCAUUGCCGGGUAGCUAUGUUCGGAAAAGAUAACCGCUGAAAGCAUCUAAGCGGGAAACUUGCCUCAAGAUG